rnacentral:ribozyme from 14 species
AUGGAAAAGAGAAAGAGAGAAAAAGGACAAAAGAAGAACCUCUUGGACAUGUCUUCUCCUUCUCAUCUUUUCUUCUCUUCU